UCGAGAAUUUUUCACAAUGGGCGAAAGCCUGAUGGAGCGACGCCGCGUGGGGGAUGAAUGGCUUCGGCCCGUAAACCCCUGUCAUUUGCGAACAAACCGCAUUAUUUAAAAGAUGAUGCGUUGAUGGUAGCGAAAGAGGAAGGGACGGCUAACUCUGUGCCAGCAGCCGCGGUAAUACAGAGGUCCCAAGCGUUGUUCGGAUUCACUGGGCGUAAAGGGUGCGUAGGUGGUGAGGAAAGUCUGAUGUGAAAUCUCCGAGCUCAACUCGGAAACGGCAUUGGAAACUACCUUGCUCGAGGGUUGGAGGGGGGACUGGAAUACUUGGUGUAGCAGUGAAAUGCGUAGAUAUCAAGUGGAACACCAGUGGCGAAGGCGAGUCCCUGGACAACUCCUGACACUGAGGCACGAAAGCUAGGGGAGCAAACAGGAUUAGAUACCCCGGUAGUCC
rnacentral:rRNA from 1 species